AUUGAACGCUGGCGGCAGGCCUAACACAUGCAAGUAGAACGAGUGGCGGACGGGUGAGUAAUGUCUGGGAAACUGCCUGAUGGAGGGGGAUAACUUCUGGCAACGGUAGCUAAUACCGCAUACCAUCAGAUGUGUCCAGAUGGGAUUAGCUUGGUGGUGGGGUAACGGCGUACCAAGACGACGAUCCCUAGCUGGUCUGCGAGGAUGACCAGCCACACUGGCACUGAGACACGGUCCGGACUCCUACGGUAGGCAGCGGUGGGGAAUAUUGCACAAUGGGCGCAAGCCUGAUGCAGCCAUGCCGCGUGUAUGAAGAAGGCCUUCGGGUUGUAAAGUACUUUCAGCGGGGAGGCGUUACCCGCAGAAGAAGCACCGGCUAACUCCGUGCCAGCAGCCGCGGUAAUAC
rnacentral:rRNA from 1 species